rnacentral:rRNA from 1 species
GAAGAAGUAAGCAAGGGCACACGGAGGAUGCCUAGGCUCGCAGAGGCGAUGAAGGACGCGAUAAGCUGCGAUAAGCUACGGGGAUGGGCACAUA